rnacentral:sRNA from 1 species
AGUCGGUGCCAUCUUCUACGCCCCUGGGAGCGUUGUGGCCGCUGUUUCCUUCGGCUUUCCUCCUCCUCCACCAUGUGGAGCCGACGUCAGGGCCGCCUCAGGCCCACGGUCUGCGGGGUGGAGGAGCUACGGCGCCGCCGGCGGGAGCGGGAGGCAGCACUGCGGAAGGCGCGGAGGGAGCAGCAGCUGGUCAGCAAGAGGCUGCUGAGAGACGACACCCCAGAGGAAGCUGGAGAGGGAUGUGUGGCUGCGAUCCUCGGGGAAACCGAGGUGCAGCAGUUCCUGCGGCAAGCCCAGCGGGGGACAGAGGAAAAGGAGAGAGAGGGGGCUCUGGUCAGCCUUCGUCGAGGCUUGCAACACCCUGAAACACAGCAAACCUUCAUCCGGUCAGUGUGGAUGGUGUGGGGGAGGGAGGAGUUGGGGCUCUGAGGGAUGGACCACAAGCUAAGCAGGGCUCUGGUACUCACUCACAUAGGCUGGAGGGCAGCAUGCGGACCCUGGUCGGGCUCCUGACCAGCAACCAGGCCCUGCUGCAGCUUGAGGCGGCUCGGUGCCUGCAUGAGCUCUCUCACUCCGAGCAGUCCACCGUUGCUGAGGCCUGCCUGCCAGCCACUUCCUACCUCCUCACCUACCUCUCCGGUCACAGCUCAGACUUCAUAGUAAGCCCUGUCCCUUCCUAUCUUGUUCUUGGUUUAGAUUUUAAAAUUGUGCUUUUGGGACCAGUUUGAGCUGGCAGGUAGGAGGAAGAAAACAUGUUUGCCCUUAUGCCUACAGCCAUGGCUACACCCAUCAUCUCCCCACCCUCUUGUGAGCCUCAAGGAUAGCUGCUCCAGCGUCCCCAUCACCUCCCCUCCCCAUCUCCCCACACCCAGCCUGGCAUCAAACAGGCCAAGCCCAGUGCUUUUGUUGCCUGUUCUCAGGAGCUGUGUCUGUAUACACUGGGUAACCUGAUCGUGGAGAGUGAGGCUGUGAGAAGGCAGCUCCUGCCACA